UCCCGAGGUGCCGGGAUUGCAGACGGAGU
rnacentral:piRNA from 1 species